rnacentral:rRNA from 1 species
GACGAACGCUGGCGGCGUGCUUAACACAUGCAAGUCGAACGGAAAGGCCCUGCUUUUGUGGGGUGCUCGAGUGGCGAACGGGUGAGUAACACGUGAGUAACCUGCCCUUGACUUUGGGAUAACUUCAGGAAACUGGGGCUAAUACCGGAUAGGAGCUCCUGCUGCAUGGUGGGGGUUGGAAAGUUUCGGCGGUUGGGGAUGGACUCGCGGCUUAUCAGCUUGUUGGUGGGGUAGUGGCUUACCAAGGCUUUGACGGGUAGCCGGCCUGAGAGGGUGACCGGCCACAAUGGGACUGAGAUACGGACCAGACUCCUACGGGAGGCAGCAGUGGGGAAUAUUGCACAAUGGGCGGAAGCCUGAGGCAGCAACGCCGCGUGCGGGAUGACGGCCUUCGGGUUGUAAACCGCUUUCGCCUGUGACGAAGCGUGAGUGACGGUAAUGGGUAAAGAAGCACCGGCUAACUACGUG